rnacentral:lncRNA from 10 species
AUCCGGGGCUGAGGGAAGGAGGCGGCGGCCAUGGAGUUGGGCGAGCUGCUCUACAACAAGUCUGAGUACAUCGAGACGGCAUCUGGGAACAAAGUCAGUCGCCAGUCAGUGUUGUGUGGAAGCCAGAACAUCGUUCUCAAUGGCAAGGCUGGAGUGCAAUGGCGCGAUCUCGGCUCACUGCAACCUCCGCCUCCCAGGUUCAAGCGAUUCUCCUGCCUCAGCCUCCCGAGUAGCUGGGAUUACUGCAGACCAUUGUGAUGAAUGACUGUAUUAUCCGAGGGGAUCUGGCAAAUGUAAGAGUUGGACGUCAUUGUGUUGUGAAAAGUCGUAGUGUCAUAAGGCCACCAUUCAAGAAGUUCAGCAAAGGUGUUGCAUUCUUUCCUUUACAUAUUGGAGACCAUGUCUUUAUUGAGGAAGAUUGUGUGGUCAACGCAGCACAGAUUGGUUCCUAUGUUCAUGUUGGGAAGAACUGUGUGAUUGGGCGCCGAUGUGUGUUGAAAGACUGCUGCAAAAUUCUUGACAACACAGUAUUACCUCCAGAAACUGU